GAGCGGAGAGCGGCGGUGGCGCGGCAGUCUUCUUCUUACCUCGCAAUCUCUGCGAUCUCUGCGCAGCAAAUCGCUUGCGAAAAGCUUUGUGUGGUUCUUUGUGAGACAAGGCGAGUUCGAGUGGACGACCAACGAGAGACGGGUUCAUCUGAAACGCCCAGCGGUGACGAAAGAGAGAUAAGGGCUUCUGCCACUGAGCGGACACUCGAAUAACCUAGACAGCCUUCGGGUGGACAAGCGCUUGUCGAGUUUUCUAGUCACUAGCCUUCGGGUGAAAGAAUCAAAGCCGACUCGUUACUAACAGAGGUUGCCUUCGGGUGACAGAGUUCUUGUGGACUCUUGCAGCUUCAUCCAUUACAUGGACGUGUGCUCUCUGGAGCAGCUCACUCGCUGAUUUCUUAGUCAGCCGCUUUACGGUGCCUCUAAUAACUGAGGUGGUAACGUUCUUCGAGCGUUCUCUUAACCACUUCUUUCAGGAAUUAUCCCAACAGUUUCUUUACAGGCGUUGAACGAACAAGAUCUUCGAAGAGCGACCUCCCUCAGCGUCAUUCAAGGGGCCGGGGCACGAAAAUCUCGCCCGUACACGACACAUCACAUGAUAUUUGUCAAGCCUGCUGCCUCGAUUAAUUUACUACGGAAUUACUUGUUUCUUUUCUUAAUUUUAGUAAAGUGUGCAAUCAAAUCAA